GGCCGCUGACGUCCCCGUUGCCGAGUGGUGGCCCGGGGAGCCGCAAAGGCUGCGCUGAUUGGAGGAGAAGGCGCCUCUCAGCGUGGCUGGGCAGAGUGCAGGUCUGCUGUUUAUCGUGCGGAUGGAGAACAGCCAUGUUUGGUUUCAUGUACUUUUUCCUAUUUUUAAUGGCUGUUUGCACAAUUGCAGGAAACCUCAGGCUGUGUUGGACAAUCAUUUUUAAUGACAGUCUCUGACAUGUUCUCAAGACCCAUUUUUCUUAUUUUGCUGAGCUGUAACUCCAUUAUUAUUGAUGGAAACGGUUUUCAUUGGUUUGGGGCUGUGUGAUGAGUUUGAUGUUCACUGACAUUUACUGGUUAAAAAACUAGCCCUGUUAUUAUGGUCCCCACACUGGACCCCGUACCAGAGAAAGCCCCUAACCCAAAGACCUCACAAUCCAAAUAACAAGCUCAGAAGACUAGAGAAGCCGAGAGGCUCGGAGGAAUGUGGUAACUUUCAGCUGCCCUGAUCGUCGGAGCUCUGGGCACCUGGGACCCCUGCAAUGAGCGGGUGCUGUGGACCUCCGCGAUCAGUCAAUACUUCGCAUGGCUCACAUGGCACCUGGUCUCAGACACCAUCUGAUGGUCCAGGGGCGUCUGCAUCGAACACAUCACGAGCCACUGACAGUACCAGGAGGCAUGAGCCCGAGUGACUUCGUGCAUCAACUACAAGAAAGGGAUUGAGAAACUUUCUGUUGGACUAUAUGAGCUGGAACCAUAAACUCACUGAAUGUGAAAUCUCACCAAAUGAGGGUCAAUCCAGCCUCAUCGUCAUAUCCAUUCAUUAUACUCCACAGCUGAACAUAGCCAUUAUACGAACAACAUACCCUCAUAUCUCAGUGUCUGUACUUUGACCCAUUAACCUUUUACCCCCAAUUGAAGAUAUUGUAGAUUAUGUAUUCCUUACGCUAUCCAAUCUUAAACUGAACUUCACACCCCUUGGUAAUCUGCACGUUAUUCCCUGAUAACCAGACACUUCUGCGCUUAAAGUCUGUACCAUUUGCUUUUUUUAAUGUCAUCUUAAAUAAAAUUUUCCCUCUUCUUUCUGUUCUGA